GGGCCCCUAAUCGGGGUUGCGGACAGUGUCUGGUGGGUAGUUUGACUGGGGCGGUCUCCUCCUAAAGAGUAACGGAGGAGCACGAAGGUUGGCUAAUCCUGGUCGGACAUCAGGAGGUUAGUGCAAUGGCAUAAGCCAGCUUGACUGCGAGCGUGACGGCGCGAGCAGGUGCGAAAGCAGGUCAUAGUGAUCCGGUGGUUCUGAAUGGAAGGGCCAUCGCUCAACGGAUAAAAGGUACUCCGGGGAUAACAGGCUGAUACCGCCCAAGAGUUCAUAUCGACGGCGGUGUUUGGCACCUCGAUGUCGGCUCAUCACAUCCUGGGGCUGAAGUAGGUCCCAAGGGUAUGGCUGUUCGCCAUUUAAAGUGGUACGCGAGCUGGGUUUAGAACGUCGUGAGACAGUUCGGUCCCUAUCUGCCGUGGGCGCUGGAGAACUGAGGGGGGCUGCUCCUAGUACGAGAGGACCGGAGUGGACGCAUCACUGGUGUUCGGGUUGUCAUGCCAAUGGCACUGCCCGGUAGCUAAAUGCGGAAGAGAUAAGUGCUGAAAGCAUCUAAGCACGAAACUUGCCCCGAGAUGAGUUCUCCCUGAGACUUAGAGUCUCCUGAAGGAACGUUGAAGACGACGACGUUGAUAGGCCGGGUGUGUAAGCGCAGCGAUGCGUUGAGCUAACCGGUACUAAUGAACCGUGAGGCUUAACCUU
rnacentral:rRNA from 1 species